AUCCCUUCCCGAACUCAGAAGUGAAACGACGCAUCGCCGAUGGUAGUGUGGGGUCUCCCCAUGUGAGAGUAGGUCAUCGUCAAGC
rnacentral:rRNA from 1 species